rfam:Triticum urartu cultivar G1812 contig554914, whole genome shotgun sequence.
GAAAUACUCCCUCAGUCCGGAAACACUCGUCGGAUAAAUGGUUAAAUAUGAGUGUAUCUAGAAUUAAAGCACAUAUAGAUGCAUCCAUUUGGUCGACAAGUAUUUCUGAACGGAAGGAGUACUAU